UACGUAGGUGGCAAGCGUUAUCCGGAAUUAUUGGGCGUAAAGAGCGCGCAGGUGGUUGAUUAAGUCUGAUGUGAAAGCCCACGGAUUAACCGUGGAGGGUCAUUGGAAACUGGUCGACUUGAGUGCAGAAGAGGGAAGUGGAAUUCCAUGUGUAGCGGUGAAAUGCGUAGAGAUAUGGAGGAACACCAGUGGCGAAGGCGGAUUCCUGGUCUGUAACUGACACUGAGGCGCGAAAGCGUGGGGAGCAAACAGGAUUAGAUACCCU
rnacentral:rRNA from 1 species